GACGGGGCCCGCACAAGCGGUGGAGCAUGUGGUUUAAUUCGAAGCAACGCGAAGAACCUUACCUGGUCUUGACAUCCACGGAAGUUUUCAGAGAUGAGAGUGUGCCUUCGGGAACCGUGAGACAGGUGCUGCAUGGCUGUCGUCAGCUCGUGUUGUGAAAUGUUGGGUUAAGUCCCGCAACGAGCGCAACCCUUAUCCUUUGUUGCCAGCGGUCCGGCCGGGAACUCAAAGGAGACUGCCAGUGAUAAACUGGAGGAAGGUGGGAUGACGUCAAGUCAUCAUGGCCCUUACGACCAGGGCUACACACGUGCUACAAUGGCGCAUACAAAGAGAAGCGACCUCGCGAGAGCAAGCGGACCUCAUAAAGUGCGUCGUAGUCCGGAUUGGAGUCUGCAACUCGACUCCAUGAAGUCGGAAUCGCUAGUAAUCGUGGAUCAGAAUGCCACGGUGAAUACGUUCCCGGGCCUU
rnacentral:rRNA from 1 species